UUGACGUUACGUUGGGCUCAUUUGCUCUCUGGACCCAAGCACUUGGCUUUUGGCUACAGAACUUGAAGUAUGAAGGUCUCCCUAAAGAGCAAGGAAAGCCCAAACUCACCGAUAGUAAAUGAAAGCCUUCUGAGAAUAAAAUCCCGAAGAAAACUGUACUACAACUAAAUUACAUGCUGGAUGAGCUUUGGCACUGAAUCUCACAAAGUUAUGAAAUUACUGCAUGCAGCUUCGUUAGGAAUCAUGAGAAGUGAAGAAAGACCUGGUACUAAUUCACACCACACUGUGCUACACGGCGCUCCUGGCUGCAUCGCACCUGUUGAUGUUUACGUGCCAAGGUACAUUACGCCAACUGCAAUGGCGAGGAAGGUACAGCUGCAAUGAGCCUGCAAACAGGACGGCUGCAUCUCAGGGAGCACUGCUCUCCAGCACCAGGCCAGGAACCCACUUCAACUGUUGGAGCAAAAGUAGAGGGGACGUACACGUGUGGGAGCUUUGCACGUUGCAUGGUGUCUGCAGCCCACUGGUCGCUCCAUGCUGCACAGCGAGGGAGCUGGGAUGAGCCAGUUCUUCAGGAAGCUUCACUGGAGAUUACACUGUGAAUUAUGUCAUCUGAGUAGACUUCAGUGAAAAUGCCACCACUGUGAUGCCAUACAUCUGCAUAGGCUUCCUGUGAGAACAUCUACCAAAUGAAAGAAAGAAGGAAUAAGAAAUGAGAAAUAUCUUUUAAUUAUUUUUCCUGCAAUUACUUGACCCAUUUGCAUGUAUAUCAGCUAUAGUGUUGUGCCAUUAUUGCAGAAGAGUUGGUCCGUAGUCAAAAAAUAAUCUGAGAGCCCUCUGGCAACAAUCACUGUCUUAAGAGCAGUCUGAGAGAUGGUUGUAUAUGAAAUCAAAAAUCUGCUGACCGUGACCAAUCAUGCCAAGGCUCUGCAUCCAGUCAUCCAACGCACUCAUGUUGCAAAGCUCAGUGGAAACAGGGUGGUGAAUAUCUGAUUGCUAAGCAGCUCUGUUGCUGGUUUCUGAGACAGGAGCAAGUUUCUGUUUCUGUUGGUCCCGAUUGGAUGUAACUACUGAUGUGCUGAUAUUUGUAAAGCCCUUUAAUAUUCAUGGUGAAAAAUAUUGGCUGACAAUGUGCCAACAGCAGCAGCCAGGGUCAAGACAAGAUCUCUGUCCCAAGUAGUUGGUAGAUCUAAGAAUCUGUUACACAGCUGUAGAUCAAUACAGAUGUUUAUAUCUUGCUAUGCUGGUAGCAAAGGGAUCUGCAUCUCUAAACCUGCAUGGAAGUAUGUGCAUUUCUUUUUACAUCUGAGUGCUUGCAUAUAACCACGCUGCAUGAAGUCAGCAGCAUGCACCUUUACAUGUGCGAUUACGUUAUUUGAGGACUCACAUUCUCUUCUGUUAUUAAGUGUUUGAGUGAGAAAACCUGUAUAUGCUGUACACACUGCAUACGCAGUUACUGAUGACAACCCAUACAAAACGUGUAUGGCACAUCAUAUCAUACACCAUGUUGGGUAUGUGUUCAACCUCUUCCACUAAUGCUUAAGCUCCGUUGCCUCAUGAUGUAUAGCAAUAGUACAUCACCGGAGUGAUGACGAUCCGAUGGUAUAUUACCAUCAUUUAUUACUGGAAUAUCAUCACUGGCAUAUUAUUGCAAUGUAUCACCGCAGCAGCAGCCAGCAGGAAUGCAGCUGCAAGAGAGUCGAGUUCUAUGUUGUAUUAAUUCCUAAGUGAUAGCUGGAGAAUUAGUAUGAUGGAGAAUCAGUGUACACCUACUUUCCUCUCUUUCACACACAUGCAGCAUAGACUGCUAUGUUUUGCUUGGUGCUUUUAGCAUAGCCUGCCGUUUUCCAAGCGUGAUUCCGUUCCUUGGUGAAAUUUUAGAUUGGGAUUGCUAUUUUGAAAUUUUGUUAAUGAUUAUGAAGUUACAACAACCAGAAGAAAGUAGAAAUUUGGUCUUGAUUGCCCUGUGCUAUAAUCAUUUCUAUCAUAUGCUUUAGGGAUUUUUUUGUGACCCUCAACAGGAGAUUGUUCUGUACUAUCUGUGGAAUUUUACAAAGAGUUAUCAAGUGGGUGCACCUUUAAGGUACGAUGCCCAUUUUUUCAAAUCUUGUGAUUUUUUUUUUUUUUUUUACAUCUGCAUGUGCAUUUCAGAAUUUAGUAUCUCAAUUGGUCGAAUCUGCCAAAAAUAAAGUAUAAAACCCAGUUAUUCCUGCCA
ensembl:lncRNA